GAAGAACUUAGGAACCAGGGUUAUGAGAAGAGGGGGAGAGGGGCCUGAUGUUUCAGUUCUGUUUCUGGUGACUGGGGAGGACUAAGGAUUCACACUGAGUUCCCAGUACUCCAUUGUGAGGAAAAGGUACAUUUCAGAUAACUGUCCUCCACUUUUGGUGACAGAGGAGGCUGGAGAGCCUCUCUCUACCCUAGGUCCCCUCUAAUUGGCAGAAGAGUCUCAAAAUGCCAAAGUCCUGAAUUAAGAUCUCUCAUUUGAGUAAUGACAUUCUGGGGGCUCCAAGGGUGUGGUUGGAGGUUAUCCAGGACAUCUGGAUGCUGAACAGCCGACRGAGGACUAGUGAUGAGAUGGAUUAGAGAAGGGUCCAUCUUUAAUUCACUCCCCUCUUUUACUUACCAUCUGGAUCUGAGCGCUCCGAGAGGCAGUUGAUGGCGCUCAUGGACACAGACUUGGAAAGCAUACCAGUGCCGGAGUGGUCCAACGAGCCAGCAGAUGGAUGACAGGAAUCCUGACCCUAAAAUCACGUCAAGAGUUCUCAAAGCUGCUCUCUGGAUUCCACUGCGGACAGGCAACGGCGAGUGCGGCCUCGGGGCACUGGGUCUCCACCUUCGAGGAACUCCUCUGGGACAGCUCUGUUCAUGGGCGGCACACACAAGCCAGUCUGAGCCAAGAAGAGAAGGGAGAACAGAGUUCUAGAACUUGGGAACUGGAAGAGGGUCACAGUCAGCCAGGCUUCAGGCCACCUAGUCACCCUCACUUUAUGGAGGCACAAAUUGGAGAAUGGCUUGCUCCGAGUCAAGGCACCUACAGAGUCAGGUCUCUGGGUUUUCUGGCUCCCAGUCCAGUGUGUGUGUGUGUGUGUGUGUGUGUGUGUGUGUGUGUGUGUGUGUGUUUUGUUUUUGCUUUUAAAACUGGGAUUGAGCUCAGGGAUACUCUACUAUUGAGAUAUACUCCCAACCCUCUAUAUUUUUUAAUUUUGAGACAAGGUCUCUGAGUUGUCCAGAUUGACUUUGAACUUGUGAACCUCCUGCCUCAGCCUCUCAAGUUGCUAGGAUUACAGGUUGUGUGUGCCACCAUGCCUGGUUCAAUGUUCUCUCUUUCUUUUUAGUACUAGACCCCAGGGAUGCUUUACCACUGAGCUAUUUCCCCAAUCCUUUUAUUUUUUAUUUUGAGACUCAGUCUCACUAAGUUACUUAGGGCCUUGCUAAAUUGCUUAGGCUGGCCUUGAACUUGCAAUCCUCCUUUCAGACUCCCAAAUCGCUGGGAUUACAGAUCAAUGAUCUUUCUAGUACAUAAGAUCCUGUUUGAGCUGGGUGUCAUGAGACAUGCCUAUAAUGGUGUAUCGGAAGGCUGAGGCAGGAGGAUCCCAAGUUUCAGGUCAGCAAAAAGGCUGGGGAGUGGCUGGGGUUUUAGCUCAGUGGUAGAACACUUGCCUGGCACAUGUGAAACACUGAGUUUGAUCUUCAGCACCACAUAAAAUAUAAAUAAAGGUAUUGUGUCCUUCUAUAUCUUUUUUUUU
rnacentral:lncRNA from 1 species